rnacentral:lncRNA from 1 species
GAGCACACCUGAGACACAAGGACAAGUAAGUCAAGCAAAUGGGACUGAGAUUAAAGCCAGUGAAUAAAACUAAAGGUCACUUUAAAGGAGUAUAAAGCUACAGUGGACAUAACGUGGCAUAGGUGAUCUUGACACCACAGAACUGUGAAGCCUGCAAUCCUACAAUAUAGAGGGGUAUGAGGAAGACAUCUCAGGAUACUGAAGAGUGUUGCAGAGGACCCACAAAUAGUCCUGAGCAUGAGAUGGUGGACAACAAACCCAUUUUUGGUGUGUUGCAGCAAGAGCGCUGGCCUGCCAUGAUCUGCUACAUUCUACCUGGAAAUACAAGUCAGAAGUCAGCCUGUCAUAUUUUUUCAAAAGGUGACUUGUCAAAAUGAGACUUCUUUCAUAAAAUCAGUCUGGUUGGGCAUGGUGGCUCACGCCUGUAAUCCUAGCACUUUGGGAGGCUGAAGUAGGUGGAUGGCUUGAGCCCAGGAGUUUGAGACCAGCCUGGGCAACAUGGCAAAAUCCCAUCUCUACAAAAAAUACAAAAAUUAGCCGGGCAUAGUGUCACACACCUGUGGUCCCAGCUACUCAGGAGACUGAGAUGGGAGGAUCACCUGAGCCCGGGAGGUUAAGGCUGCAGUGAGCCAGGAUUGGGCCACUGCACUACAGCAUGGGUGACAGAGUGAAAUGCUGUCUCAAAAAACAACAACAAAAAAUCUCUCAAUCUGUCCAAAUAGUUAGAUUGUCUUCAGUAAUCUUUCCAUCGCGAUCUUGCUUUGUUUCUACUACUACUCUGAUGCUACAUAAUUAAGGUCACCAAUCGUUGUCACUGUCUUUCCAAACCUGUUGUUCCUUACUUCCUCCGGCCAUUCUUCCUUGUCCCCCUCCCAUUCAUCAUCCAGACACACACACACACACACACACACACACACACACACACACACACAUACAUUUUAACAAUACCAAACUCCUUGUAGUUCCCCUAAAUGAAUCAUGUUGUUUCCCUUACCUGAAAUGCCCAAUCCCUUUUUUAUUUUCAUUGCUAACUCCUCUCAUCUUUCCAGAGUGUUCACGUCUACCAGGAGUGUUCUUGUCCCUCCCAUUCCUUUCUACUCUAGCUCCACUCACAGUUCUGUGUAAUCCCAUCUUGUGGACUAACCCGUGUUAAAAAGAUUUGUUUGCUGAUUUGAUUCUUCCCUCCACUACACCCCCCCAUAACACAAAAUGAGUCCCUUAAAAGCAGAAAUGUUGCCUCACUGGUCUCCAGCACCCAGUGGAGUAUUUGGUAUGAAUGUCGGUCGAACUGUACUCUCUCCAGUGUGCAUUUUGUUCCAGGAAGACUAGGUAAUAGCAGGAGCAUUAGAAGCCUCAUCUUCAGGGCUGUUUGACAUUGAUUUUUUAAAAAAUACAUUUCCUGAGGUCUCACUAGUGCCAGAAUAUGAAAAAAAUAAUCAUUCUUCUCUGACUAAAGUGGAAUCACCAGUGAUUUAUUCUCUCCUUAAUCAGUAAUACUAGCUAACAUUUAUAUAGCCCUCACUAGGUCCCAAGCACUUUGAACAUAUCAUCUUAUUUCAUGUCUAUAACCACCUUCAGGUAGGCACUGUUGUUACCCUCCAAUUUACAAAGGAGGAAACUGAAGUGCAGGGAGGUUAAGUAAGUGGCAAGCUAGAAUCUGGAUACAGGUUGUCUGGUUCCAGGGACCAGGCAGUUAGCCAUUAUGCUAUGCGGCAUGAUUUCUUGCUUUCCUUGCCCUUUUUUCUUAAAUGUUUAAUUACAUAAGUAGCAUAUCAAUACAUUUAAAUUGUCAAAAAUUCAGAAACAAAGCAAAAACUCACUACUAUUUGAUGGGUAUCUUUCAAGAUCUUUUUCUUUGUUUACAUACAUAUAUACAUUAUGUGUGUGUACAUAUACACAAAGAAAUAUGUAUUUUUAUGUAACUGGAUUAUGCCUUAUUUUUCUAUAGAUUUGUUUUCAUUUAACAAUUUGUCUUAAAGGUCUUUUCAUAUCGAUGCAUAUUGAUCUAUUUUAUUCUUUGAAUGUUGCAUAGUAUGGAUAUAUUCCAUAGAAUGGGUGUAAUAUAGUUUAGGUAACCAUUUUUCUUUUGCGAGUCAUUUAUGUUGUUUCUGAUUUCACUGUUACAAACCAGGCUGCACUGAGUAUCCUUGAACAUGUCUCUUCACAUUCAUGCAACUAUACGUCUAGGAAAGAUCCUCAGAAAUAAAAUUGUUGGGAUGAAG